GACGAACGCUGGCGGCGUGCUUAACACAUGCAAGUCGAACGGUGUAACAAGAGCUUGCUCUUCUGGAUCAGUGGCGAACGGGUGAGUAACACGUGAGUAACCUGCCCCAGACUCUGGAAUAAGCGCUGGAAACGGCGUCUAAUACCGGAUACGAGACAGAGCUGCAUGGCUACUGUCUGGAAUGUUCUUCGGUCUGGGAUGGUCUCGCGGCCUAUCAGCUUGUUGGUGAGGUAACGGCUCACCAAGGCAACGACGGGUAGCCGGCCUGAGAGGGCGACCGGCCACAGGAGGACUGAGACACGGCCCAGACAGCAACGGGGGGCAGCGGUGGGAAAUAUUGAACAAUGGGCGGAAACCCGGUGCAACGACGCCGCGUGGAGGAUGACCGCCUUCGGGUUGUAAACCUCUUUCAGCAGGGAAGAAGCGAUAGUGACGGUACCUGGAGAAGAAGCACCGGCUAACUACGUG
rnacentral:rRNA from 1 species